GAAAAAAAAGCAGAAAGGAACUGGGAGCGAUGAAGGAGCCUCUGACUCUGCUCACAGGAAAAUAAAAGGAAGCACAGUCAGCCUUCCUCAUGUCCACUCAGGACAACAUAGUUGUUUUUGUGGAAAUCCCAUGGCACCCAGUGGAAGUCUACCAGUACCAGCCCCUGCAGCGGCAACGCAGUGUGUCCAGAUCCCUGUUCUGCAGGAUGACCCCUCAGGUGAAGGAGGCUUACCGCUGGCCCUCAGCCCACAGCGCUCUGCCUUCCACCCCUACUUCACCGUGGAUCUGCCAGUCUACGUCCUCCAGGAGGUGCUUCCAGCACCCGGAGGCUUUGCUGGGCUAGAGGCUGCACAGGUACCAGGAAGCACUAUCAACCUGCAGGACCUUCAGUGACAGCAGCCUGAACAAAUGAGGACUGCCUUCCAGGCCUGCUUCAAGACCUCAGCUGGCUGGGGAGCUGGGGCUUGGGGGUGGCAGAGAGACUCAUUUGACUUCCUCAGCACUCCAGCCUGGUUCUGUGAGACUUUAGGGUACAUAUAUUGAAAGUACUUAAACUGCCUCCACAGGUUGCCCUCUGAGAUAGGCACUGUGCCCAUGCCGCGUGUGUGUGUGUGUGUGUGUGUGUGUGUGUGUGUGUGUGUGUGUGUGCGCGCGCACGCGCGCGCCUGUAUGUGAGUGUGCAUUCCAGCCCUUCCCAGGUCCCCUUGGGCCUGAGGUGGGUAGUACCUUUUACAUUAAAAGAUCCUUGCAGGAAGUGGGUAUAGCAUGGCUCCCUACUCAGGAACAUCUCUGUACUGAGUCAGCUGUAGUGUAUUAGUAUUUUGUCUGACACAUCGAGAAAUUUGGUUCUUUUCUGAGAGCUUGUAUGACAGACAGCUUCUCACCUGUGAAGAUGAUUUGGUGGGUGUAUUGGUUUCACUGCACUGUAAGCCAUGGUGAAGCCAAAGUCAGGCUGAGCUCUGGCAGGGUACCCACCAGUGGCCUGCUAGUAGAACCUCUUCCUAGACUGACAAUGCAGCUCAAAGUUUGGGAAUGAAGAGUUCAGGCUUUUAAAGUCAUCUUUCUAAAUUCUGUUUCUGGGAUUCAUGGUAAAUAGCAACUUGUCCAUAGUCUCUACAGUGAGGUUCUGAAUGCUAUGUUAUAUGUAGGGCUGGAAUGAUAGGCUUGUUUUGUGGUUAAGGUUGGAGAUUGUGUGGUUUCACAGAGUGAUUCGGUCUUCCCUGAGGAGACGGUUAGUUGCCUUGCACCUAUUUAUUUGUUAGUCAGGACUGGAUACAGGGUCACUGAGAAUGCAUUUUUCUUGGGCUUUUGGAGUGUGUGCUUAUUCAAAUACUAUUUUGGUCCUGUUCUAUCUGAGUUGCUUUGUUUCUUGGAUUUGGGGAGAGCCCUGAGGUUGGGCAUUUGUCUUCUCUGGAUGGCUCUGUGGUGCCGUCUACUUGGGUGCUGCUCCCUACAAAGAGAUUACAAAUCCUACUUGAGAAGACUCCUUUCCACAUGUCUCUCCUGCAUCAUAGGCCAAAGUUUAGGGGUUGAACUAAUCUACCUACUGUAAUCAGCACCCCCAUACACAAUAGGCAGCCUGGUAUGACUGUCACCCUCCUCAAGAGCCCACCCCACAGAGAAGGUUCUUUCUCCCAAAGCCUCCAGCGUGUGUCUACAAGUGACAGGAUGGGCUGUAGUGCUCUGAGCACUGGAGCUUCCCGCUGCCAAAGGCCCAGUCCUUAGUGCAAAUGAAUAAAAAAGUGUUUGUAUGUUAUGUGCC
rnacentral:lncRNA from 1 species